GCCCUUGUAGCUCAGUUGGUAGAGCAACGGCUUUGUAAUCCGUAGGUCGGGAGUUCGAGUCUCCCCGGGGGCACCA
rnacentral:tRNA from 1 species